rnacentral:rRNA from 1 species
UACGGGGGGGGCAAGCGUUGUCCGGAAUUACUGGGCGUAAAGCGCACGUAGGCGGCUUUGUAAGUUAGAGGUGAAAGCCCGGAGCUCAACUCCGGAACUGCCUUUAAGACUGCAUCGCUUGAAUCCAGGAGAGGUGAGUGGAAUUCCGAGUGUAGAGGUGAAAUUCGUAGAUAUUCGGAAGAACACCAGACGGCGAAGGCGGCUCACUGGACUGGUAUUGACGCUGAGGUGCGAAAGCGUGGGGAGCAAACAGG